UUUUGAGAGUUUGAUCCUGGCUCAGGAUGAACGCUGGCGGCGUGCCUUAAGCAUGCAAGUCAAGGGGGUCGCAAGACAACCGGCAGACGGGUGAGUAAUGCGUAGGAAUCUACCCUUUAAUGGAUCAUAGCUCAUCGAAAGAUGGGGUAAUUGUCCAUAGUCUCUGAGAGCAAUCGAAGAGUAAAGUGCGUAACUGCACGUUAAAGGAGGAGCCUACGUCCUAUCAGCUAGUUGGUAGGGUAAAGGCCUACCAAGGCAAUGACGGGUAGCUGGACUGAGAGGUCGAUCAGCCACAACUGCACUGAGACACGGGCAGUACACCUACGGGUGGCAGCAACUAGGAAAUUGUAAACUCCUUUUGACCCGCUAUUCACGGCGGGUAGAAUAAGCCCUUACUAACUACGUGGCCCGUAACAAAACGGGUUUGGCGCGUAGUAUAAAUUUCACUAUAUGCUGGGAAUUUUUGUAAAGACUAAUCUACCUAAAAGGUGAAAAUGAUUAGCCAAACCCUAAAAAACCUUGAGACUGGUAUAGGGGUUGCAAAACAAUCAGCAGGGAAGACUCGCCUUAGGCGAGAACCCUCAGAGACUAUACGUGAGACAUUUGCAAGACAAAUGAAGAUAUAGUCCAUGUUCGGAACGUUUUUUAACGGGCCGGGCCAGAAGUCUCGGUAAUACGUAGGGGGCAAGCGUUAUCCGGAUUCAUUGGGCGUAAAGUGUGCGUAGGCUGUUGUCAAAGUCCUAUUUUAAAUACUCGGGCUUAACCCGAGGAAAAGGUAGGAUACUGGGCGACUUGAGGAUUGGCAGGGAUGCUGGAACAGCUAGAGUAGCAGUGAAAUGCGUUGAUAUUAGCUGGAACACCAAAGGCGAAGGCAAGCAUCUAGGCUUUUCUCUGACGCUGAGGCACGAAAGCUAGGGCAGCGAAACAGAUUAGAUACCUGUGUAGUCCUAGCCGUAAACAAUGUUCGCUAGCUCUCACUCGCGGAGCGAUAUGAAUUAUGAAGCAUGAAUUAUGAAUUAUGGGCAAAAAGUUUUUAAAUCCUUAAUUCAUUAUUCUUAAUUCUUUAUUCGUUCGUUGCGCGAGUGGGGGUGUAAGUUAACACGUUAAGCGAACCGCCUGGGGAGUACGGCCGCAAGGCUAAAACUCAAAGGAAUUGACGGGGACCCGCACAACCUGUGGAGCGUGUGGU
rnacentral:rRNA from 1 species